AGUAAUAAAAGUUACUCUUUCUUCUUUAAACAUCUUCAAGGUCUCUGGGAAGGAAUAAAUUCCUAAGGGAGAGAGUUUCCUAGGAGGAGACCGCCCUGGCACUGGAAUGGGGUGACAUUGGCUGAGUUGCCGCCUUGUUUCCAUGCUCGUUGUUCCUUUUUCCUAUGCAUAUACCUCUUUGAGACAUAGCAUUAAAGAGGCAUAGGGCAUGGGAAAAUGGGGCUGCAGAGGUGUUCCACUGGAGUUUUCUUCAAAACCACAUCUACAUAGAAAGGGUUAGGUAAACAUGUUUUCUUAAAUGCUUUCAUUUAGAUCUGCCAUUCUACCCACAGGAGUAUAUAGCUCUUAGCAGCAUGAUUGUUUUUAUUUGCUACAUGGGAUGCUGUGAAGAAACAGUGAUGGUGUGAUCUUGUGAAGUGCAGAGUGAGAAUUGAAACCAAGUAAGCAAUGUGCUGCCUGCCUGUAAUUUAAUAAAGAAACUGAAUUGAAAAUAA